rnacentral:lncRNA from 1 species
UGUUAAUUUCAUAUAAGGAAUGCCGUACAUAUCACAAGGCCUGAUUUAGUGGUCCCAAUAGCAUGCCACAACAUUAUCCUUCUAAUGGUGGCAUCAAUAUCAAGGGCACCACCGCUAGUUUUCUAAUUGGACAUCAUCUUUGGAAAACAUUGUAUAAUGUGGGUUUUUGCCGUACUAAGAUUUGAAGUUUGGUGAUUUUCAUCAUCAUAAUUUUGUGACUACAAAAUAAGAAUGAUUGGACAUAUCAAUCUUAUGGAAGGGUGGUAUUGGUGCUACUCUCCUGAGACUUCACAUCAUAAAAUACCAUACUAUCUCAUAUCGUCCCAU